rnacentral:rRNA from 14 species
ACGGGUGAGUAACGCGUGGGAAUCUACCCAGUUCUACGGAACAACACAGGGAAACUUGUGCUAAUACCGUAUACGCCCUACGGGGGAAAGAUUUAUCGGAAUUGGAUGAGCCCGCGUAAGAUUAGCUAGUUGGUGGGGUAAUGGCCUACCAAGGCGACGAUCUUUAGCUGGUCUGAGAGGAUGAUCAGCCACACUGGGACUGAGACACGGCCCAGACUCCUACGGGAGGCAGCAGUGGGGAAUAUUGGACAAUGGGCGCAAGCCUGAUCCAGCCAUGCCGCGUGAGUGAUGAAGGCCUUAGGGUUGUAAAGCUCUUUCAGUGGGGACGAUAAUGACGGUACCCACAGAAGAAGCCCCGGCUAACUUCGUGCCAGCAGCCGCGGUAAUACGAAGGGGGCUAGCGUUGUUCGGAUUUACUGGGCGUAAAGCGCACGUAGGCGGAUCGUUAAGUCGGGGGUGAAAUCCUGGAGCUCAACUCCAGAACUGCCUUCGAUACUGGCGAUCUUGAGUCCGGAAGAGGUGAGUGGAACUCCUAGUGUAGAGGUGGAAUUCGUAGA